rnacentral:rRNA from 1 species
UGGGGAAUUUUGGACAAUGGGCGAAAGCCUGAUCCAGCAAUGCCGCGUGUGUGAAGAAGGCCUUCGGGUUGUAAAGCACUUUUGUCCGGAAAGAAAUCCUUGGCUCUAAUACAGUCGGGGGAUGACGGUACCGGAAGAAUAAGCACCGGCUAACUACGUGCCAGCAGCCGCGGUAAUACGUAGGGUGCAAGCGUUAAUCGGAAUUACUGGGCGUAAAGCGUGCGCAGGCGGUUUGCUAAGACCGAUGUGAAAUCCCCGGGCUCAACCUGGGAACUGCAUUGGUGACUGGCAGGCUAGAGUAUGGCAGAGGGGGGUAGAAUUCCACGUGUAGCAGUGAAAUGCGUAGAGAUGUGGAGGAAUACCGAUGGCGAAGGCAGCCCCCUGGGCCAAUACUGACGCUCAUGCACGAAAAGCGUGGGGGAGCAAAACAGGAUUAGAUACCCCUGGUAGUCCCACGCCCUAAAACGAUGUCAACUAGUUGUUGGGGGAUUCAUUUCCUUAGUAACGUAGCUAACGCGUGAAGUUGACCGCCU